UGAGCAAUCUGCCCUUCUCAUCGGAAUAAGCGUUGGAAACGACGUCUAAUGCCGAAUAUGACCUCCUUUCGCAUGAUCGGAGGUGGAAAGCUCCGGCGGAGAAGGAUGAGCUCGCGGCCUAUCAGCUAGUUGGUGUGGGUAAUGGCCCACCAAGGCGACGACGGGUAGCCGGCCUGAGAGGGUGACCCGGCCACACGUGGGACUGAGACACGGCCCAGCUCCGUAGGGAGG
rnacentral:rRNA from 1 species